GCUUAGCUCAAGAGCAGUGUUGCCCAAAGAGACCUUUGGCUCUCUCUAUAGGACAUAAACUACCUCCUGAGGUAGUAGCACGACUCACUAUUGACUAGAAAAGGUUUUGCACCAUCUGUUCCAGUGCCUUCCCAGAAUCCCUCCUCUUCCCUAAACUCUGUGCCCGGGAAAGACAAACUUGGCAGUCACAGCAGAAAAUGAGGCAAGAAGAACUCAGAGCAAAAGGACUAUGAUUAGUCUCUCUAGGAGUCUAAUGCUGGACUUAGUAUAGCAAUAUUGGGCACAGGGACACAAGAGCUACAACACAUGUUUUGUAAGAUUUGUGCUAGCAGUUAGCACACAACCACUCAGAAGCUGACAGUGGAAGCCAUAUUUCGUCAAAACCUCUGAGCACAGAUUCAAAGAUGAUGUAUUUACACCAAAGCUGGGCAUCUAAGAAUCAGAGUCCAGCAGGAGCUAUAUCAAAAGCCUGAUCUGCCUUUACUUCAGGCUGAAAAGAGAGAUGAAAACUAAAAAUAAAUUUAAAAU